rnacentral:rRNA from 1 species
ACUCCUACGGGAGGCAGCAGUGGGGAAUAUUGCACAAUGGGCGCAAGCCUGAUGCAGCCAUGCCGCGUGUGUGAAGAAGGCCUUCGGGGUUNUAAAGCACUUUCAGUCGUGAGGAAGGUAGUGUAGUUAAUAGCUGCAUUAUUUGACGUUAGCGACAGAAGAAGCACCGGCUAACUCCGUGCACCAGGCCGCGGUAAUACGGAGGGUGCGANAGUUAAUCGGAAUUACUGGGCGUAAAGCGCAUGCAGGUGGUUUGUUAAGUCAGAUGUGAAAGCCCGGGGCUCAACCUCGGAAUUGCAUUUGAAACUAGGCAGACUAGAGUACUGUAGAGGGGGGUAG